UUAUAACUAAAAUAAUUUGGCAGUGAGCGAUUCUUUUUAGGGGAAGGUGUGGUGUAAAGGAUGAUCCGCCUAAUAAUUUACUUUUAUUAUAUUGGUGUAUAUCUGGUUUAAUAUUAUUGCUGAAUGACAGAAGUUGUGUAGUGUUAUUUAAGCCAAGUCUAUGUGCUGUUUAUAAAAGUAUUCAUGCGUUACAUUAAUAAGUAUUUAAUUGUAAUAUUAGAUGAUUUAGGACUUAAA
rnacentral:rRNA from 1 species